GCUGCAUAUUGUCAUGGACACAUAAGUGAGUCUUGGAGCAGAAUUCCUGAGACCUGCCGGCAGCAAUGACAGACUCGAACUGAGGUACUCAGGUGGGAAGCACAACUUUUUCAAGAAAGCCUUAAAAAAGAAGACAACACCUAAGGAAAAAAUGAAUAUGGAGGGAGAAAAAGAAAAGGAUGUACCUCUUUUGAAGCCUUCAAUUAAAUUCAUCUCAAUAACCUUUGUUAGUGCUGAUCAACGUCAUCUCAGAGUUCAGUUUUGUGCAGCAGACCGAAUGCAGAGAUAACAAGACAGCUAGGGUUUUCCUAUCUGAUGGGCCUCACUCCUUCAGGAGUCUGGUUAGUGCGGCAGCAUUUUCCAUAACUUGUCAACUACACAGAGUCAAGACAGUGUGAUCCUAUAACGUGGGCCAUGACCU